rnacentral:sRNA from 2 species
GCCGUGUUCAUUGGGGAGUAGCCAUCCUUAUCCCCAAGGAGUUUGCGUCAACAUACUUGGUGGUUCUUACCCCAUGGCGUAAACGGCAGCCUUCCGUCACGGGAUUUUCCCGUCAACGGUGGCCCAGCCAGGCGAGACCUUUGGCCACGACGCGCUACCCUGCCGGGCGAGCCGCGUCGUCGCGCCAUUGGCUAUCCGCUCGUCCGGCUGUU